GGCUUCUCAGUACAAAAUUACUAAAAAAAAAAAAAUUCAAAACGGAAUAGGAAUACACUUCCCUCAGCGUGGUUUCCGCUUACCCACCAGUUUGGAAUUAGGUAUUGAGAAUGGUGCAAUGAUGCAUUUUUUCGGUGGUGCUGCUUCAUGGACCGGCGCAGGGGCGCGCUCACCUUGUUUUUCGCGGCUGCUGUUUGGUGUGCUACUUACACGCUCGUUGCCAUUGUUGAACUGUUCAACGCCUUCAGAUUUCUUCACCAUUGCAUCUCCGGGUGAUUGAAUUGCAAGGUGUCGAGGUGGGCGCUACAUGACAUGAGAUGACAUGACAUGACAUGACGGUGAAGCUUUAAUUAUCGCCAAUUCACAGUGCGCAAAGGUUAGUGAUCGAAUUCUCUCUUUUCAGUGACACAGAUUGUGUGCAUCAUUUUUGGUCUCAAAGUGUUUGUUGUCAACCAACCGUAUGCAUUGAUACGGUGACUAUAUGCAUUCUUUUUUUGUUGGGUAUACGAGUGAUUUCCGUAGUAUGUUAUGUACAUUUAAAUCAACUUGUGUAUAAACCAUCAAAUUGAUUUUUUCCUUUGAUAAAUAAAGUUGGGAAUUUUAGAUCUA